GAAAUGCGAUAAGUAAUGUGAAUUGCAGAAUUCAGUGAAUCAUCGAAUCUUUGAACGCACAUUGCGCCCGGCAGUAAUCUGCCGGGCAUGCCUGUCCGAGCGUCAUUUCUGCCCUCGAGCGCGGUUCGGCCCCUAGCGGGCCGGCCGCCGCCCGGUGUUGGGGCGCUGCGGGCCCUCGUGCCCGCAGGCCCUGAAAUGAAGUGGCGGUCCCGCCGCGGCGCCCCCUGCGUAGUAGUAAAGCACCUCGCAUCGGGUCCCGGCGGAGGCCAGCCGUCGAACCUCUCUUUUGAUGGUUUGACCUCGGAUCAGGUAGGGUUACCCGCUGAACUUAAGC
rnacentral:misc_RNA from 1 species